CUAGUCAUAUGGUAUUCCUACGGGAGGCAGCAGUGAGGAAUAUUGGUCAAUGGGCGAGAGCCUGAACCAGCCAAGUCGCGUGAAGGAAGAAUGUCCUAUGGAUUGUAAACUUCUUUUGUAAGGGAAUAAAAAAGGGUACGUGUACCCUAUUGUAUGUACUUUACGAAUAAGGAUCGGCUAACUCCGUGCCAGCAGCCGCGGUAAUACGGAGGAUCCGAGCGUUAUCCGGAUUUAUUGGGUUUAAAGGGUGCGUAGGCGGACCAAUUAGUCAGUGGUGAAAGUUUGCAGCUCAACUGUAAAAUUGCCAUUGAAACUGUUGGUCUUGAGUGUAAAUGAGGUAGGCGGAAUGUGUUGUGUAGCGGUGAAAUGCUUAGAUAUAACACAGAACACCAAUUGCGAAGGCAGCUUACUGGGAUACAACUGACGCUGAGGCACGAAAGCGUGGGGAUCAAACAGGAUUAGAUACCCUGGUAGUCCACGCAGUAAACGAUGAAUACUAGCUGUAUGCGAUAUACUGUAUGUGGCAAAGCGAAAGCGUUAAGUAUUCCACCUGGGGAGUACGUUCGCAAGAAUGAAACUCAAAGGAAUUGACGGGGGCCCGCACAAGCGGAGGAACAUGUGGUUUAAUUCGAUGAUACGCGAGGAACCUUACCCGGGCUUGAAAUGCAUCUGACCGACUUGGAAACAGGUCUUCUAGCAAUAGCAGAUGUGUAGGUGCUGCAUGGUUGUCGUCAGCUCGUGCCGUGAGGUGUCGGCUUAAGUGCCAUAACGAGCGCAACCCCUAUCAUUAGUUACUAACAGGUUAAGCUGAGGACUCUAGUGAGACUGCCGCCGUAAGGUGUGAGGAAGGUGGGGAUGACGUCAAAUCAGCACGGCCCUUACGUCCGGGGCGACACACGUGUUACAAUGGGGGGUACAGAGGGUUGCUACUUGGUGACAAGAUGCUAAUCUCUUAAAGCCUCUCUCAGUUCGGAUCGAAGUCUGCAACUCGACUUCGUGAAGCUGGAUUCGCUAGUAAUAGGGCAUCAGCCAUGGCGCGGUGAAUACGUUCCCGGGCCUUGUACACACCGCCAUCGUACCCCGA
rnacentral:rRNA from 1 species